rnacentral:rRNA from 1 species
GACGAACGCUGGCGGCGUGCUUAACACAUGCAAGUCGAACGGAAAGGCCCUGCUUUUGUGGGGUGCUCGAGUGGCGAACGGGUGAGUAACACGUGAGUAACCUGCCCUUGACUUUGGGAUAACUUCAGGAAACUGGGGCUAAUACCGGAUAGGAGCUCCUGCUGCAUGGUGGGGGUUGGAAAGUUUCGGCGGUUGGGGAUGGACUCGCGGCUUAUCAGCUUGUUGGUUGGGUAGUGGCUUACCAAGGCUUUGACUGGUAGCCGGCCUGAGAGGGUGACCGGCCACAUUGGGACUGAGAUACGGCCCAGACUCCUAUGGGAGGCAGCAGUGGGGAAUAUUGCACAAUGGGCGGAAGCCUGAGGCAGCAACGCCGCGUGCGGGAUGACGGCCUUCGGGUUGUAAACCGCUUUCGCCUGUUACGAAGCGUGAGUGACGGUAAUGGGUAAAGAAGCACCGGCUAACUACGUG